rnacentral:rRNA from 1 species
CCUACGGGAGGCAGCAGUAGGGAAUAUUGCUCAAUGGGGGAAACCCUGAAGCAGCAACGCCGCGUGGGGGAUGAAGGUUUUCGGAUUGUAAACCCCUUUUGUUAGAGAAGAUAAUGACGGUCUCUAACGAAUAAGCACCUGCCAACUCCUUGCCAGCAGGCACGGUAAUACGGAGGGUGCACGGGUUACUCGGAAUUACUGGGCGUAAAGAGCGCGUAGGCGGGAUAGCAAGUCAGACGUGAAAUCCUAUGGCUUAACCAUAGAACUGCCUUUGAAACUGUUAAUCUAGAGUAUGGGAGAGGUAGGUGGAAUGCUUGGUGUAGGGGUAAAAUCCGUAGAGAUCAAGAGGAAUACUCAUUGCGAAGGCGACCUGCUAGAACAUAACUGACGCUGAUGCGCGAAAGCGUGGGGAGCAAACAGGAUUAGAUACCCCAGUAGUC